AUACAGAGGGUGCAAGCGUUAAUCGGAUUUACUGGGCGUAAAGCGCGCGUAGGUGGCUAAUUAAGUCAAAUGUGAAAUCCCCGAGCUUAACUUGGGAAUUGCAUUCGACACUGGUUAGCUAGAGUAUGGGAGAGGAUGGUAGAAUUCCAGGUGUAGCGGUGAAAUGCGUAGAGAUCUGGAGGAAAACCGAUGGCGAAGGCAGCCAUCUGGCCUAAUACUGACACUGAGGUGCGAAAGCAUGGGGAGCAAACAGGAUUAGAUACCCUGGUAGUCCAUGCCGUAAACGAUGUCUACUAGCCGUUGGGGCCCUUGAGGCUUUAGUGGCGCAGCUAACGCGAUAAGUAGACCGCCUGGGGAGUACGGUCGCAAGACUAAAACUCAAAUGAAUUGACGGGG
rnacentral:rRNA from 1 species